UUUAUUUAUUUAUACUUUAUGAACAUUUUUAUUUCUCACUAUGCCCAACAAAUCCUGAAGCCACCAUUGACUUCUGCUGUACUAGAAGUAAUGCCAUUCACCUGCUGCUUCCAUCCCCAAGCUUAAUAUUUUCCAAUCAUUUGUCAUCUCCCUUAUAACCAAUCUUUUGUAUGACAUCCAUAUCCUGCCUUCCACCAGAUUUUUUCCAUUGGAUUGCAUAUUUGGCUUUGUUCAAUUACUUCUUUUUGCAUAUGACAUGCUUUAAUUAUUUUCAACCAAUGAACUAUUUGUCCUUCCAAAUUCCACUUGGCCAUCAUCUCAUUCUGGGUGCUCUUUCUUAACCCCUAAGUCUGGGCCAUAGGUAUUUCCUUAGCAACUGUAGCAACAGGUACCAGGGCCUGCAUUUUGAAACAAAUAUUUACACACCAGCUGCCAGACUAUUCCAUGUAACUUUUAAGAGAAAGAACUCAGUUUUCCUGAGCUGUACUGACAUCAAUAUGGCCCAGACUAAUACAUAACUGAGCCUUCCUACACUGAAUAUAUAUACAGCGAGUGUUUCUUAAAAUGAGUUGUAAGAAAAAAGGUGCUUUCAAUAUGGAAAACCAUUGCCUUACUUGUUUUUACAUGUGGCUAAUUUUUAUAUAUUUGAUUUACAUGAAAUUAUGAAAGGCUUAAUUAAUUAAUCAAGAACCAAGUUACUUUUGAUCGGUAUCUAGUUAGCAUAGUGUUAAUCUAGUGAGCACCCAAAUUACAUAAAAAUUCUAUCCGAUUUAUUCAAUCUUAGAAGAAAAUACGUAUUUUGUAAAUCAAAAUGCAUAAGAUGGGUAUUCCAGAAUAUAAAGAAAUAUUUUUGCAUAUGAAUGUAUUUUAAACUAAAAUAUUAAAGCUAGGGCAAUGAAAAGUUGAUAUGUGCUAAAUAAGUUAGACUUUAUCCAUUACUACCCAGAGCAGAGACUAGGUAAUAUUUGUAUAACAUUAGAGCAAUUGAACUCAUGUGCCAACUAUUUGAAUUUGCCAAAGAAAGGGGAACCCUUAUAAACCUAUGAUUAUUGCCAAACAUCUGUUUUAAGUCUUAAAAUUCUGGUUUUUAGAACUUUAUCUUUCAAAAAGCUCUAGAAACAAAUUAAUAUCAUUGUGGUAAAGGUGUGUAUCAUUUAGAUUUCAUUAUGCAUAAUCUCUUCCAUUGUCUAGAUCAUGCAUUAUUUUUAUGAGCUUCUGUAUGAAAAAUAUUCAUCAGGGCCUCCUACUCAGACCCAAUAUCAAGGGCAAAUAUGUGAACAAGGGAGGACAAAGAGAACUCAGUUGUAGGACUAGCAAUAUAUCGAUUACUUUUGAGUCACUGUGACCGAGUUGCUUGAGGACAUUUUAAUGGAGGAAAGAUUUACUUCAGCUUGUGGUUUCAAAGGAUUCAAUUCAUCAUGAUGAAGAGGGCACAGAAAUAGCUCCCAUUAUGGCAUAUAAGAAGUAGUGAGAGAAGGAGAGUAAAUGCCAGCACUCUUCUGGAUCUCUCUUUUUUCUCUUUUUAUCAGUUCAGAACCUCCUACCCCAUGGGAAAGUACCCUCCACAUUCAGAGUGGCUACUUCUUCUAGUUAAUCUCCAGAGGUGUGCCUCAGUAUUUUUCCGGUGAUUCUAUUCCCACUCAAACUCACAAUGAUGAUUAACCAUUACAAGCAAGGAUCUGGAGAGCUAUUGCAGUGUUUCUGCUAGACGUUGAUCAGAGGGAGAGAAGUCAAUACCUUCGCAGUCAAAGUCUAUUUGGUACACUGUUUGUUUCUUCAGGGAGUCAAUAACCCAAGAACUGAGAACUUGAUCAAUAAAAUCAAGUCUGUAUUUUGUCUUGCCCUGGAUGCCUUUCUACCAACUUUCUACCACAUACAGCUUAUAAAAGACUUAAGAGGUUUUGAAAGAUCCCCAAGCUAUGAGGCACUGCACAGAAUCUACUAAUUGGUUAAACAGAAGCACCAAGUAUGUACCAGACACUGUGACAGGCAAUUCGGAGAAAAUGUGAACCAGCUUUGCUGUUUGAAAUAACACUAAUGCCACUUUCCAAUGCCUUUCUGAAAACCAGAAGAAGGAAAGAACAUAGUUGAUGAGUGCUGCAGGUGUGCUAAGAACCAGCGUUGGGAUCCUGCAUUUGCCAUCUGGUGUAAAUAAAAGAGCCUUGCAGAGAGUGAA